rnacentral:tRNA from 1 species
GCGCCAGUAGCUCAGUGGAUAGAGUGCUUGCCUCCGGAGCAAGAUGUCACAGGUUCAAAUCCUGUCUGGCGCG